AUUAUCUUGGCAGAAUAAGUGCAUUAAAUUUAGAAUUUAAAUUAUGUAUAAAAAGUUAUAUAGGUAAUA
rnacentral:tRNA from 1 species